AUGAUUCUCUCUAGAUUUUUUCAUACAUUUUUCUUUCAAAAACUAUGAGAAAAUAACAAGGAUUUUAAAAGAUUUUCACAUAUGGUUUUUUAAACUUUAUGUAAUAAAUUUAUGAAAAGAAAAGUAGGGGUUAGCGGGCAAAACAUUUAAUGGAACUACAUGGAUAAAACCAGAGGAUUCAAUAUAUAUAAACACAAAAAGUCAAAAACAAGAGGAGCGAACAUCCUUAACACAUAUGAUAACAAUUCAAUCUUUGAUUCAAAUUUAAAGGUGACUGAUUUUGAUGAAGUGACUGUAAUAUAAUGUAUUUUAGGCAUCAAUGGUGAUUGAAUCUUUGAUUCAAAUUCAAAAGUACUGAUUCUUAUGAAAGUGUAAACAUUUUAUACUGUCUUGCAGUCGAAACGAUGAACUGUAUAUUAUAGAUUGACAUACAUGUCUUAAAAGAUCAAUCAUUUACAUACUAUAGUAACAAUUCAUGAACUGUAAAUGGACUAAAAUCAUGAAUAAGAAACAAACAUUUAAUCAACUAAUAAAGCAAUGUUUAUCAAUAACUACUAGUUAGAUCAACUAACCAUAAUUUGUAACAUUCUGUGACAGUGUCACUAUAAAUAUUGAACACAAUUUACAUAUACUGUUAUAUAUAUAUUAUUAAUAUUUCAUAUAUGAACAAAUAACUUUUUUUCCUAGUGUCCAUUUUUGACAUUUUUAUUUGCUACAGUUUAAAUCAAAAGAUUUUAUUACGCAGAUUUUCAUGUUUUAACAAUAAAACGUGUGCGAGUCGUCCAAAAAAUGAUCUCUAUUACCUGCAGUCUCCAAAUAAUAUGUGAUUUAAUGAGAUUUCAGAAAUCACUAAGAGCUGUUUCAGAAUUAAAUGCAUGGGUGCAUAUUUUUUUUUAAUACUCUGAGCACCAAUAAAUUAAAAAAUUUUCAUUUUAGGUAUAUUUCUCAAAAAAUUCAAUAGAGAAUGAAACCAAUCAUAAUUAAUUUAUUGCAGUGCCUCCCAUCCCAGCAUGUUUUUUAAAUCUGGAACAGCUAUUAGAUUACAAAUUAAAAUAUCAGUGCAAAACUUCAUAUAGAAAAAUUUGUGAAACUUUGGUGGAAUUUAUAAUAAAUAUCAAAUUUGAGGCAUGAAAGAUGACACAAAACAACAGAAGUGGCUGUUUGUGUCAUCUUUAAUGCAUAAAGAUGAUACCAGACAAAAGAAGUGAAUAUUUUGUGUCAUCUUAAAUGAAUAUGAUGACACAUGACAAAACAACAAAGGUGAAUUCUUUGUGUCAUCUUUAAUGUAUAAGACGACAAGGCAACAGAAGUGAAUUAUUUGUCAAUAUAGAUUCUAUGUAAGGUUACACAAUUAUAUGUGUUGUUUUAUGAUUUGUUUUUUCUAGGGUAGUACUUUCCACAUUUCUAUAGAUAUAUGUACCAGAAAAAAAUUGGUACAUUGCAAAUGCUAGCACUAUAACAAAACAGAAAAACAAAAAAACAAAAUUUUUUGUUCCUUUCUGUCACAUACAAUAAUACUGUCAAAAUCAUUAAAAAAUAUCAUAUUUUCACAUUCAAUUGAUAAAUAUCUAGUUUAAAAUUUGAUGUCAAGCAAACAAAAUCAAAUUUUUUAUGAUGAAUAAUUGACAUACAGCAUUAAUAAAAUAAUUGUAAGCUGCAUUCUAUAUAUAAAUAAAAUGAAGUCAUGCAGAAAUGUAAAAGAGAGACAAAAAAAACAUACAUGAGCACAUAUUCAAAUCAACAUACUGUAAAUUCAGACACUAUUGUGAGGUUUUUAUUAAUGCAAAUAAUGCGACUUCUUGAAUAUAGCAAUAAUAAGAACUUGCAUUCUGAUAUCUGAUACAUAUAUCUGUAGGUAGCUUUUUCCUCAAAUUGCAAUAAUUAAACUCGCAUUUUAGUUCAUUCUUCAAAAAUAGCAAUAAUAAAUGCACGCAAUAGUUUCUGAAUUUACAGUAGUAAAUAAUUGUUUCAAAUAAAUAUGCUUAAAGGAGUUUUUUCAUUUUUUUUUCAAGCUUUGAAAUUGUUUUUUCAUUUUGUAGUGAUAGAUUAGAGAAGAUUUCAUUGAUAAUACCAUCUUCAUUACAAAUGUACAAAUCCAAUUCAAUUGUUAAAUUUAAAACCACUUGUAAAUUAAUAUUCGUGAAGCUCAAUUGAAUUGAGAACAGAUAUAAGGAAUGUGUCAAAGAGACAAUAACCCGACCAAAUAGCAGAAAACAGCCCAAAGCCACCAAUGGGUCUUCAACACAGCGAGAAAAUCUUUAAAAGAUUGAUCACACUUUU